GCUCGCGUAGCUCAGUUGGUAGAGCACACCCUUGGUAAGGGUGAGGUCAUCGGUUCAAUCCCGAUCGCGAGCU
rnacentral:tRNA from 3 species